rnacentral:misc_RNA from 1 species
UACGGAGGGUGCAAACGUUGCUCGGAAUCAUUGGGCGUAAAGCGCACGUAGGCGGACUGGUAAGUCGGAUGUGAAAGCCCUCGGCUUAACCGAGGAAGUGCAUUCGAAACUGCUAGUCUUGAGUACGGGAGAGGGUCGCGGAAUCCCGGUGUAGAGGUGAAAUUCGUAGAUAUCGGGAGGAACACCAGUGGCGAAGGCGGCGACCUGGACCGAUACUGACGCUGAGGUGCGAAAGCGUGGGGAGCGAACCGG